UCGCUAGUAAUCGCGGAUCAGCAUGCCGCGGUGAAUACGUUCCCGGGCCUUGUACACACCGCCCGUCACACCACGAGAGUUGGCAACACCCGAAGUCGGUGAGGUAACCUUUUUGGAGCCAGCCGCCGAAGGUGGGGCCAAUGAUUGGGGUGAAGUCGUAACUAGGUAGCCGUAUCGGAAGGUGCGGCUGGAUCACCUCCUUU
rnacentral:rRNA from 1 species